rnacentral:rRNA from 1 species
CCUACGGGUGGCAGCAGUGGGGAAUAUUGGACAAUGGGCGAAAGCCUGAUCCAGCCAUGCCGCGUGUGUGAAGAAGGCCUUCGGGUUGUAAAGCACUUUCAGUGGGGAAGAAAGCCUUGGGGCUAAUACCCUCGAGGAAGGACAUCACCCACAGAAGAAGCACCGGCUAACUCCGUGCCAGCAGCCGCGGUAAUACGGAGGGUGCGAGCGUUAAUCGGAAUUACUGGGCGUAAAGCGCGCGUAGGCGGUCUGAUAAGCCGGUUGUGAAAGCCCCGGGCUCAACCUGGGAACGGCAUCCGGAACUGUCAGGCUAGAGUGCAGGAGAGGAAGGUAGAAUUCCCGGUGUAGCGGUGAAAUGCGUAGAGAUCGGGAGGAAUACCAGUGGCGAAGGCGGCCUUCUGGACUGACACUGACGCUGAGGUGCGAAAGCGUGGGUAGCAAACAGGAUUAGCUACCCUUGUAGUC